AUUGUAUCUCUGCUUCCUGGAACAAAGAUUGAAGCAUAGUGUCUGUUCUUAUCAGUUUAAUCUCUGCUAGGUUCUUGAUGUGGGGACUGUAUAUUAACUUGGUUUUUCAAAAAGAGAAGGGUUAGAGAAGAAACUUGUUUUGUCUUCCCCAUGCAUUGACCUGGUAUUGUAGUGUCUCCAAGAACAGUGUAUCUCCU
ensembl:snRNA U2 U2 spliceosomal RNA